CUCCUCUGAUACCUGGUAUGAUUGACGGCUGCUAUUGCUUUGGUGCCCGCGGCAGCUCAUGAAGCGUUUUGGCAGUCUUAGAGGAAGCAAGAAACAAAAGGACCAGGGCAGAAGCUCUGAGAGGCGCAAAUCUGAACCUCAUGGCCUUUUAGAUGGGGAACCUGAGAUACAGAGAUGUGAACUGAUGUGCCCAAGGUAUAGAAGCAGACCCAAGAUUAGAAUUUGUGUUCCCUGUUGGUAGAAUCACCCUUAAACCUGCCAUUUCAAAGUCCAAUUACACACCUGUGUGAAAGGACAGUGAGAUUGCAGACAGGUUUACGAUGGACCGUAUGGAUUGUGUGAUACACAACCUGUCAGUUAGGGCUAUGCUACUGCUCUACUGCUUCGUUUUAUGGAUGUUCAUAUCAUACGGCUCAUUUGAUCUACUUCCUGUCUGAGAAGACUUUAGAGAAUAAGAUGGAAGAGAUAUAUCCUCUAGUUGGUCGACAGAACGAGUAACGCAGAGCCUGAUUUUCCUCUGGAAUGCAUGCAUGAGUGGCUCUGGUUGUCUUCAGUGUCAGCUGUCUGCCCACACACCCAAGAACAAUGUUUGAUCCACCCUUAU